rnacentral:lncRNA from 1 species
AAUAGCCUCCACAACCUGAAACCAAUCUGCAAUCCGGUCAUUUCACAUACCUCAAACCUGCAGGAUUGUUUCCAAGCAAACAAAACAAAUUCUACAUCAGUUCAAUAAUAAUAUAAGCCAGAUCAUUAACAAUGUAGCGGUUUAAACAGGCCUCAAAACCUACAGCUUGUAUUCAUUCCGGUCUUGUAACACAAGGGCAAUUGCUAUUUAGACAAAUGAUAGAAGUCUACGCAAAUAAAUUCAAGGAUUAAGCACUAUUCUUGUAUGGACCAUCUCUUUGGAAGAAGCUGGUCUACAUGACAAAAGCAAAGGAGUUUGGGAAGUACAGGAUUAUAUAUGUACGGUUACCGUCAUGCUAAGACCACCGGAGUAAUUUCAGACGAUUAAAUUCUUAAACUGACUAUUGUGCUUCAGCCUCAUCAAGAUACAAGCCAAGCACCUGUUAUUAAAAUCACACGGCGGCCAUGCAAUUUUGUGCAGAAUUCCAAAAACUUGACAAACCUGCAGCAGAAAGAAAUGAGGUUAAAGCCUGUCAAUCUAAUGGAGUAAUCUUAUGCAGGUAGGAAUACAUAAUCAAUGGAGGAAAGAGCUGUUGGUAUUAUGGCAGGCAACACCUGUUACAACUAGAGAGAAAAGGGUGAAUCGGUGGGGGAGAUUUUGAAAAGAAAACCCUAAAGCUUGGAGGCGGCCGCGAUCUCAAAGGAAAUAAAAGUUAAUUCGNCUUGUAUGGACCAUCUCUUUGGAAGAGCUGGUCUCAUUGACAAAGCAAAGGAGUUUGGAAGUACAGGAUUAUAUAUGUACGGUUACCGUCAUGCUAAGACCCACCGGAGUCAUUUCAAGACGAUUAAAUUCUUAAACUGACUAUUGUGCUUCAGCCUCAUCAAGAUACAAGCCAAGCACCUGUUAUUAAAAUCAACCGGCGGCCAAUGCAAUUUUGUGCAGAAUUCCAAACUUGACAAACCUGCAGCAGAAAGAAAUGAAGGUUAAGCCUGUCAAUCUAAUGGAGUAAUCUUAUGCAGGUAGGAAUACAGAAUCAAUGGAGGAAAGAGUUGUUGGUAUUAUGCAGGCAACACCUGUUACAACUAGAGAGAAAGGGUGAAUCGGUGGGGGAGAAUUUGAAAAGAAAACCCUAAAGCUUGGAGGCGGCCGCGAUCUCAAAGGAAUAAAAAGUUAAUUCCAAAAUCAAAGC